AUUUAUUAAUAGCUUGUUUUUGUCUCAGCAGUGUCUAUUAAAAACCAGCAUUUUCUGUCCAGGCCUUAGAUUUGCUUAACAUGACAAAGCAAAAUUCUUUUAAUCACCUUUUUUAUUUUCAGCAGUUUUUCAUUAUUCCUUCAGAAUGUUGAUUCUAAUUCAAACUCAUUUUUCUCAGGGAACUGAGUGCUUUAUUUUACACUCUGUAGUCUUCUACAAGGGAAUCGUGCAAGGUAAUACCCUUAUAUGUCUCAAUAUCGCAUAUCUUUUUUUUAUGGGAGCAUCUCUCUGUAAGUUCAUUGUUACACUGACACCAACUUGAAGACCCAGACCUUUUCAUCUCAGUGCUUGUUUCUGGUUGACGAACACAUCAAUUAUGGGAUAAGUUCAUGAUGGCAGCUCCCACAAUUCUCUCUGCCAAACUUCAUUCAGCUGCAAUGUCAUGUCCACAAGUUAUUCUGGUUUGUCUCCCUGGUCUUUCCCAAAUUAAAGAGCUCAGCAGGUUUAAACAGAAAUUUUCAUCUCUACACUUCUUUCUAUUCCAUCUGGGACAAAAAUGCAUUAAGGGAAGCACUGGAAGGCUGACAAGGAAUCGUGCUGCUGCAGGGCUGGGGCCAGAGCACCGCAGGGACGCCUCGCUCCAGAUUGCUUCAAGGGACACCAGAUCACGUUUUGGAAGGCAGAUGUUUAGCUGGCUGCCAAGAUUCACACACAACAGCUGGUGCACAACUCAUUCUUCAGCACCUCUCCCAUCCACUGCUGCUCUCACUCUGCUCCAGGAAAGGACUCAGAUCAUAGUAAAGCACUCUGAAGGAGAAGUCCAAGUGUGGUCAAGAGGAAUGAAGGUCUCCAGCUGCUCUCAGCUGUUCUCCUCAGUUUUGGCACUGCACCAAUGUUGACUUUGAAAUAUAGAUAAGGUUUUGUUUCCUUUUGAUCUGUCUCUAUUUCUUCAAUGUCAGCUCUGGCAGAUGCAUGCUGUGCUUAGACCCUGCUCCUGUCACCAUAUUCACUCAUAUGGAUUGUACCUAACAGUUCACAGUACAUCACUUCAGCAGAGGACAGGUGCUGCUGCUGCCUUUGUCCCCUCCUACACCUUUUUCUGCAUGGGGUGUAAUAAAAUUCCUGAUAAAUUGAGAAGCCCA
rnacentral:lncRNA from 1 species